rnacentral:lncRNA from 1 species
AUAGCAACAGCAGCGUAGCUGAACAUCUUACGGAUGGCCCAGGGCUCCAAAGGCUCGUUUCCUAAGUGAGAGAGAGCCUGGCUGAAGCUGUAUUACCAUUCAUUCUCCAGCCUCCGAAGUCUCAAAGCAUCACUUCCACCAUACUCUAACUGUCAAGACAAACACAAAGGCCCAGAAACUGCCAGACUGUCUUCUGAAGUGGCUAUAAUAUUUACACUCCCAUCAGCAGUGUAGAAGGGGUCUCACUAUGUUGUCUGGAGUGCUGUGGUGGAGUGGAGUGGCUAUUCACAGAGCCUGUUCUGCUGGGACACAGAAUCACUUGCUCCAUCUCAUACAUUGAUGAUGAUUAAUUUGUAUGUGUACCUUCCAAAAAAGAUGGUUGUGUUUGAAUGGAGGCCUUCUGGACAGGAAAAUUGCAAAGUACAAUUAACAUUUGAGUCUGUCUGAGUCAUGAAGAAAUGGAGAUUACUGAAAAUAAUUCAUUUUGGUAUCUUCUUACAUCCUGAGAGACUAAUCUUUCCAAGUUCAUCUGAGGCUCCUCUUCUCCAUGACAACCUCAUCCAGGGAUUUCUUCCUGUCCUGGUGUUUUAUGACAUCAUCCUCAUCUCGCUUGUAAGGAUAAUAGCCUUCCUCCAAACCUCACACACUUUUGGAGGAGAUCACUUUUUUUAAAGUGCAUGGAAAUGUUUUGAAACAGUGAAAUCUAUAAUGAUAGGUUUCAUAAUUCUAACAUCCACACCAUAUGAAUCACAUCCUUCCUGAGAUAAUGAGCACACAAUUGCCUGGAUACCUGAAGGAAUGGAGACAGCGGCAGAAAACACUGCAGAGAGGUGGAAACAUCCGUUAAUAUUUUAAAAUCCCAUUACUGCUACCAACAAUAAUAAUGGAUGCAUAGAAAUAGAUCUGGAUUAGCUGAGCUUGAAACAGUCCAUCUCACACACACACAAAAGAAUUUCAGAUACAGUGAACCCACAUGUUGAAGCUUUCUAGUAUAAUAAAAAUUUCAACUGUUCUGUUGAAUCAUCUGCCUGAUUGGAGGCUACAGAAAAGAUGUCAUCUUAGGAGUGCUUGCUCUGAGUGAGGCUCAUCUUCAAAUCUGAAUGACCACAAGGAGAUUUGAUUAUACAUGUGAACACCUCAGAAGGCACAGCCCACCCAGAAGGCAGACAGGAGGAGACAGACACUAGAGCUCACCGGCUCGCCCUCUCACUCCUACUCAUCUGAGAAGGCAGCCAGCUAACCCUUCAGCCAGGAAGAGGGUCCUCAUCAGAACCUGGCCGUGGUGGCAUCCAGAUCUUGAACCUCCGGACUCCAGACUGUGAGAAAAUAAGUGUGUUGUUUAAACUA